rnacentral:rRNA from 1 species
UUUUAUUAUUAGUUUAGAUUUAUUAAUUUUUAGAUAAUUUAUUAAUAUAUUAAAUAAAAUAUUGGUUUAUAAGUAAAAAUGAUUAAAUUAGUAUAAUUUUUUGUUAAGUUAAUUAUAAUUUUUAGAUAAAAUUAAGGAAUUCGGCAAAUUUAUUUUCUGCCUGUUUAUUAAAAACAUGUCUUUUUGUAAUUAUUUAAAGUCGAGCCUGCCCUAUGAUUAUUUAAAUGGCCGCGGUAUUUUGACCGUGCAAAGGUAGCAUAAUAAUUAGUUUCUUAAUUAGAAGCUGGUAUGAAUGGUUUGACAAGAAAAUUUCUGUCUCAAUUUUAAUAUUAGAAUUUAACUUUUUAGUUAAAAGGCUUAAAUUAUUUUAAAAGACGAGAAGACCCUAUAGAAUUUUAUAUAUAUUUUAUUUAAAAUUUUAUGGAUUAUUUAUUUUUAAUUAAAUUAUUUAUUUUGUUGGGGUGAUGGAAAAAUUUAAUGAACUUUUUCUUAUUUUAUUCAUUGAUUUAUGA